ACACAUGCAGUCGAACGAUGAAGGAGGAGCUUGCUCCUCCGGAUUAGUGGCGAACGGGUGAGUAAUACGUGAGCAAUGUGCCCUUGACUCUGGGAUAAGCGCUGGAAACGGCGUCUAAUACCGGAUACGACCAUCGGAGGCAUCUCCUGGUGGUGGAAAGAACUUCGGUCAAGGAUCAGCUCACGGCCUAUCAGCUUGUUGGUGAGGUAAUGGCUCACCAAGGCGACGACGGGUAGCCGGCCUGAGAGGGUGACCGGCCACACUGGGACUGAGACACGGCCCAGACUCCUACGGGAGGCAGCAGUGGGGAAUAUUGCACAAUGGGCGCAAGCCUGAUGCAGCAACGCCGCGUGAGGGACGAAGGCCUUCGGGUUGUAAACCUCUUUUAGCAGGGAAGAAGCGAGAGUGACGGUACCUGCAGAAAAAGCACCGGCUAACUACGUGCCAGCAGCCGCGGUAAUACGUAGGGUGCAAGCGUUGUCCGGAAUUAUUGGGCGUAAAGAGCUCGUAGGCGGUUUGUCACGUCUGCUGUGAAAACCCGAGGCUCAACCUCGGGCUUGCAGUGGGUACGGGCAGACUAGAGUGCGGUAGGGGAGAUUGGAAUUCCUGGUGUAGCGGUGGAAUGCGCAGAUAUCAGGAGGAACACCGAUGGCGA
rnacentral:rRNA from 1 species